AAUUAUCAAAGUGGGCUUUUAUAGGAUAUUCAAUUCAAUUUCGUUGAAGGGUCAACAUUUAUUUUGAAAUCAAAAUAAUUACUUUUCAGUCUGAUAACACUGAAGAGUAUAGGAGGAUCAGUUUGACUCUCAGUAUCAUGCAAUAUUUAUUAAAUUAAUAACAAUCUUUCUUCUUUAGCACAUUACUUUCUCCCAUUUUACACUGCCCCUGCUUUGGUCCUGCCUCCCUUCCCGACUCCCGGUAAGUGUCAAUCGCAAUCUCCAAAUGCCAAAUGCCAGUUCUCGGAAAAGUUCUCCUUGCGAACCAUUAGUGGCAUUCGAUACGUACGUGUUUAUUGGCAACUUGGUUACACGUUCAUUAUUUGAGGUCACCAUCCACGAACAGAAACCAGGACGAAAUGUGCAAUAAUUUUAGCUGCAAACUUUGUAAGGAAUGAACACCGACAGAGCUUGACGAUUCAACGAUUCGACGAUGCCAUUACCAGAUGGAGGGUUUACGGCUCCGAGGCAGAGAAUGAGGAAACCAGUCAAGUUUAUUAAUUUCCCUGUCCUGUGAAACAAAGCCCCAGCCAGCAAUCUCCAUUUGCUGCACCCUCUCGCUCGCGUUGUUUUAUUGUCCUUGUUGUCACGGCUCUGUUCUGCUGUUCAGCUGCUUCCUGUUGCAGUGUCUCGUAAAUUCGUAACGGGAAAAUAUGCAUGUUAAA